CCUUUUCUCGGGGAGGGAGAGAGAGAGUGGGGAAAUUUUUAUAUAAAUCCUGAGCCCUCCUUGGUAUUAUUUCUCGGGGCUUGGAUCCUUUCCUUCGCUUCUGGGAAAAGGGCUGGAGAUCCGUGGAGCUUCUCAGGAAUUUUGUCUACCUUAGGCAGCCUCUGAGGAGUUCUAGAUUGUAUUUUUUUUCGAUGGUCUUUGGCCGGGUCCAUCACUGGUGAGAAUCAUUUCAGUCCUCAUGAGCUCGACGGUCUCAACAUCUCAAGAAGUACUCCCACCCAUGAGGCUUGGCGCACUGGAAUCACCACAUUCCCAGCAAUCACCUGUAGCAUUUGUUCAACCUCAAGUGAAUAUUACUAAUGAUGAUGAAACUGAGUUGUUGUCCGUGUCGUGGAAUCAGGACUACGGGUGCUUUGCUGCUGGCACAAGCUCUGGUUUUAGGAUCUAUAAUUGUGAGCCUUUCAAGGAAACCUUUAGAAGGGAAUUGAAGAAUGGGGGUUUUGGAAUAGUUGAAAUGCUGUUUCGGUGCAAUAUUCUAGCUCUUGUUGGUGGUGGAGCCAACUCACAGUACCCACCAAACAAAGUGAUGAUCUGGGAUGAUCAUCAAAGUCGGUGCAUUGGUGAAUUUGCAUUCAGAUCUGAUGUCAGGGCUGUAAAAUUGAGGCGAGACCGCAUUGUUGUGGUUCUUGAGCGCAAGAUAUAUGUCUACAACUUUUUAGAUCUAAAGCUGCUUCACCAGAUUGAGACUUUAUCAAAUCCGAAGGGGCUUUGUUGCCUUUCACAUCAUUCAAAUACCUCUGUUCUGGCUUGCCCUGGUCUUCACAGUGGGCAAGUUCGUAUUGAACACUUUGGUCUGAAGGUGACUAAGUUUAUCAGUGCACAUGAUUCUCAUGUUGCUUGCUUGACCUUGACUAUGGAUGGGCUUCUUCUUGCAACAGCAAGUGUAAAGGGCACACUAAUAAGGAUAUUUAACACGAUGGAUGGAACCCGCCUACAAGAGGUUCGGAGGGGAGCUGAUAAAGCUGAAAUAUACAGCAUUGCUCUCUCUCCCAAUGUACAGUGGUUAGCAGUUUCUAGUGACAAAGGGACUGUUCAUAUAUUCAGUCUUAGAGUUCGAGUAGUAGGAGAGGAUGCAUCGAACCAUCAAACUUUUGGUCAAGGCCCAGGAAUGGUCCAUCAGAACUCUUCAAGUUCUCUUGAUGCCCUCAUAUCUCCAAACACUGGUGCUAACCCUGGCUCGUCAUUAUCCUUUAUGAAAGGAAAGCAGACCCUAUUCUGAUGAUCUUCUUGUAAGAUUAAUGUGCUCAACCUGACCCAUUGUCUUAGCGGUAUUCACCGGAAAUGGCGGUGCCUGUAAAAAUAUCUCAAAUAUCAUAUUUCAAACCCAGUAUGAUAAAGUACCUUCAACUGUUUAUUGCUUCAGUAGUGUAGAGAUAUUUCUAAGUUGGCCCGAUUCCAACUUCCAAAUCUGCAUCUUUCAUAAGUCAGGGGUAUUGCCAAAGUAUUUUAGUUCUGAGUGGUCAUUUGCACAAUUUCACCUACCAGAAGCCACACGCUAUAUUGCUGCAUUUGGAGCUCAUAACACUGUUGUAAUUGUUGGCAUGGAUGGCAGCUUCUACAGGUGCAGCUUUGAUCUUGUGAAUGGAGGAGAGAUGGUGCAGCAAGAAUACAACCGGUUUCUGAAGGCUGGCAAACACUGACCAAUACCCAUUGCCUCAUGAAAAUUGUAGAGCAAACUCAGCCCAAUUCACUGAAUGUAAUUAUGAGAUGAAAUUUGUCUAUAUGCCCAUCUGUAGAUAUGUGUUGCAGUUUACUUGGAAGUUUUACUUUAGCAACUGAAGUAUGAAGAGCCCAUCAAUUGAUUAUAUUCUAGGUCCA